GGAGAGGUGGCCGAGUGGCUGAAGGCGCACGCUUGGAAAGCGUGUAGGCGGGCAACCGUCUCGAGGGUUCGAAUCCCUCCCUCUCCGCCA
rnacentral:tRNA from 1 species